CCAAGAGCAAACACAGCGCCUACACCUGCCGGUACAGGCCUCCAACCCCACUCUCUCAGAUACGUCCUCCAGAGUCAUCUCAUCCACCCCACCCUGGGGAGGAGGGAAACUGAGGCAUGGCAAGAGACAAGACUAACUCAGGCAUCACGUGGGCUCUCCCGGCACCAGCACCGCCAGGCCCUGUGCAGGACACCAGGGUCAUCAGGAAGGAAAUGAGGCAGCCCAAGGAGGCAGGAGACGAGGCCCUACCCAGCACCCAGCCAUCUGCAUUGACACGGCUGCCCACAGGAUAUCACUGCCCCCAUCCCGGGGCCCACCAUUACCAGCAGGGAGAGGGAGGCAGGUUCAGCAGGGACAGAGCUCAGGGGGAAGGCACCUCCCGUCCUGGUUCAAUACAUGGACCCCUGACCCGGGGAAAGGGACUGAGCCAGGGGAGGCCUCAGGUCACUGCACCAUGAAGUUGUGGGGAGCUGCGGGGGCCUCUGGGCUCUGAGCUGGGCAGGCACAGCGUGGGUACCACGUGCCGAGGGGAAGAAGCGUGCCAGGGUGGACGUCUCAGUGCACACGCAGGAACGUGAAACGGCUGAGCCGGCCCAGAGAGGCAGCGGAGCGUGUGCGGGGCGGCCGGCGGAGGAGCAGCAGGAUCCCAGGCGGGAGGGCACGGCCUUCUGAGAGGCAGGUUCCAGGACAAUACUCAGUGUUUCGAUCCAGGAGGUCCCAUUGUGGCGUUUCAUCAAUAAACGCACAUGCGAGGUGGAGGGUGGCUGGUGUGGAAUGUGCCCGGCAGCUUUCACAGCAAAGGAGAAUUCUAGAACCAACCGAAGUGCCCCUCUGAAGGGAGCUGGUCCCGUCCGUUCCAGCCGCCGUGGAGUAACACAGCCAGCAGUUUCCCUCCUGUCACGAAAGCUCGAGACUGAAACUCAGGAUGAACUGUUUUCAGCCAGGGUCACCCCAGCCCUGGGGUGGAGGCCCAUUGAGGAUGGCCGAGCAGGGGCGGGCGUCCAGGCAGGUCCAGCAGUCCUGGGGGGCUGAGGAGAAGGAGGUCAGGGCUCAGGGAGGCAUCCGCAGAGGGACCUGGCAGGCAGAGCUCCAGAAGGGCGGGAACUGCACAGACAGAAAGCUCCAGAAGGCUGCCUGAGGGUCUCUGAGGCCUCCGGAGUCAGGCGCCAUGCAUGUGGAAGGUGGACUCUUCAGCAUGGGUGGG
rnacentral:lncRNA from 1 species